rnacentral:ncRNA from 1 species
UAUAUUGCGAUGAGUAGGAGUAGUAAUAAUUCUUAUAACUUAAAGAGAACUGUUGGUUGGUGAAAAACAGUGUUAUAUAAUUAUGAACUUGCCUAGGAGCUUACUUGCUAAAAACAAGUACGGUGAAACCCGUUAAAAUUUUGAGUGAGAAGAAUCAAUUUAAUUUUUUCUUCUAAUUAGAGUGGUACCACGGAAAUUAUGCUUUCGUCUCUUGA